CUAAGGCUAAGCAAAUACCAGUACCUGAGCUCGCUAGAGCGACAACAGACGUCAUGGGUAGUAAUUUGAAGAACGCAGUGAUUGCUUUCCUGGUGCCACUUCCUUCAAUUUUCUUCUACCUUUCCCUCCUUAACCAUCAUCAUACCAACAUUAGUGAUGGCACUGCUUUUUCUCCUUUAUGGGCAUGGUGCGUUGACCACCCUCUUCUAUUGGCCUUCUCUUCUUCUUCAACGUCAAUGUCCUCUUCUGGAUCAUCAGUCACAUCCAAUCCAGCCA
rnacentral:misc_RNA from 1 species